rnacentral:rRNA from 1 species
UACGUAGGGUGCAAGCGUUUGUCCGGAAUUAUUGGGCGUAAAGAGCUCGUAGGCGGUCUGUCGCGUCUGCUGUGAAAACUCGGGGCUUAACCCCGGGCCUGCAGUGGGUACGGGCAGACUAGAGUGCGGUAGGGGAGACUGGAAUUCCUGGUGUAGCGGUGAAAUGCGCAGAUAUCAGGAGGAACACCGGUGGCGAAGGCGGGUCUCUGGGCCGUAACUGACGCUGAGGAGCGAAAGCUGGGGAGCGAACAGG